rnacentral:sRNA from 1 species
AUAUAGGCUCUAUAACAACAGAAGAAAAA